UGAUUCAUCCUAGAGACUGUGUGUCAGCAGAGGGUUAUAAACCAGUUGCUGCACAAUCAGCAUUGAACUGGGAACAAUUCAGUGCUCAAGAAAUGCAUCAUGGCUGGAUGUUGUUGAUCUUCAGCACGGCAAACACACUGUCCCAAUAAAGUGGUCUCCUGUCUUUGGCAGUAUUAUCUACAACAUAUUAUCUUUUGUUAAGAAACCAACCCAAUGGAUUCCAAGUAUUCAAGAAGAGCUAGCAUGGACGAUACAAAACAAAACAAAAAGAAGAAAUGACACCUGCACAGGAUUGCUAAGCAAAACAGACUUUAUCUACUUUUUACAGUGAAAUAGCAAACGGAUGAUUUGCAAGCAUAGGAAACCUCCGUGGGGAAUCUUCAUUGAGAAUUUGAUGCAGCACGCAAAAUGAUUGCAGCAAUGAAGAUGUCUGCAUGCAGGGUUUCUUCAUCAAAUCCCCACCUCUCCAUCUUUUCAACAAUCAGAGUUCCUGGAAAAGGAGACAUUUUGUGCUUUAUAAGUCCAGCAAUGGUUAUCUCCUUAAGUAUCAUAAAGGACAGCACAAAAAGGGCUGUAUUGAAAUCAACAAGGAUUCAAAAAUAGAAAUUGGUAUAGAUGACAGUGAGAGAAUGACAGCUGUGAAGAGGAUGUUUAAAUGCCAGCACUCAGAAGUGAUGACCAUCAAAACAGAGGAGAGGGCUUACUACCUUAUUGGAACAGAUAGCAAAGAUAUUGAGGAAUGGGCUAACUUCUUCUGCGCAGACUGCAAAGAAAAAGAGACAAAUGCAUUGGAAACUCAGAACCAGAUACCCAUCCAGUCCAGAAGCCGUUCCCAAUCUUCACCAGCUAAUCUCACUGAAUAUUGGGCUGAUCUACAUGAGGGCAAUGAAUAUGAAGAAAUUUCUGAUGACAAAAAAAGACCAUAUUCAGAACCCUAUGAAGAAAGCCCUAUUUAUGAGUCACUAAGAAAAUUGGUACCAUGUCAGAGAGGCCUACCAAGUCAUCACUGUGUACCUGAAGAACAGACAAAAGGAAAGCAUGAAAAGGAGGAAGAGAGCGAGCAGCCAUAUUAUGAUACUCCAAGAAGAAUUCUGGCUGAGCUGGAUCGUGUUAUUGCUGAACACAGCAACCCGGUUGAGAAUCUGAGUCCAAAUGACACAGAUUGUAGCCAAAAUCGAAUGUACAUGUCCAUGAAGAAUGUGGUGAUUAAAGGAAAAAUCCAGCCUGCGUGUACAAGUGUUGAAUUGGAAACCCUUCCCAGAAACCAGGAAAAUUAUACGGACCUUAAUGGGGGCAUGGGUAUCCAACCACUCAAUGAAGGCAACACUAGAGCAAAAGAGCUUCUACCAGAAAAUAAAGCAAAACGGUUAACGGUGGUUCAGUUGUCCAAACUUCUCAACAGUAAAAUCAUAGAUGAUAGCCAACUGGAAGUGGUGGACAUUCACCUUCCUCAAAACGAAGCCAUCAACUGCCUGUCAUUUACUGAAGCAAUUGGACGUAUAUGUGUUUCCCAAUGGAAAGGUCCACAUCACUUAAAUUGUAUAUUUCAUCACGGGGAUCACAUAACGGCUGUGAAUGACUUAUAUGUGACAAGUACAGAUGAGGUUUUGUUAUUCAUAAAAAGAGCCACAAGAAAGGAGGUUAAACUAACUGUAUGUCGGCUCCCAGAUUCAGAAAUUUUCCACACUGAAGGAUGUAUGUGUAAAAAAAAAGAACAAGGCAAGAAGAACUGAGUGGAAAGCUGUAUCUCCUCCUCAUUCUGCAUGCACAAUGCCACAUCUGCUCAAAAUGGAGGAAGAUACCACACUUAAAAAGCUAAUUCUAGAAUGUUCUAAACCGAGGCUCUGUGCAGUAGGAGCCCAUUGUGGCUGCACAGAGGAUCCCUCAAAGAACAUAAGUUACAGUGAGAAAAACAGACCAUUUUGCAAGACAUAUCUUCCUCUGUUACAUCAGUCUUCAGUUGUAGCUCUAAAAAAAAUGGAACUUUUCGGGACUGGCACAAAACUUGUUAACUUCCAAAGGCAACUGAAUGCAGUACAGCUUUCUGCCACUAUCUUGGAAUGCAUUAUCAAGAUGUGCUGGAAGAAUUCACAUGUGUUUGUAAUAUCUUCGUAUUCUGCAAUGCUCAAGGAAUAAAGGCAGGUUAUCUGGUUCUUCAUCCAACCCAUAUAACUGAGAUAUCACAAUAGCACAAAAAUUAACAAAGGAAGCCUGUGACCAUCUUGCAGUCUUAUUUUUUCUUCGAGCGAGUGAACUGCCUUACCUUUCUCUCCUUAUUUAUAAAGGAAAUGUAGGCAUGUCUUGCACAUUUAUGAAGCAAACUCUUGUAUUCAGUAAGCAGCUGGUGGUGUUUGGAAGUCUAGCAGGCUGGAUUCCAUGCUUCACAGUUUUACGCCAAGAUCAUGAAUAUUAUAUUAAAUAUUUAAUUAAAUGAAUACGUCACAAUGAA